rnacentral:vault_RNA from 1 species
GCACUGGUUUUGCUCCGGGCGGUGACUUCCCUCUUCAAAUCUACUUGGGAGCUUCCGCCGUCUCUAUCCCUCCCUUGGAUCCAACCGCGGGCGCUCUCCAGUGUCUUC